ACAGGGCGGGGGUCGCGGCCUGCUCGGGGAUCAGGCCGAGAUGCUGCUGCUGCGGACCAUGGCCAACAUCCGGGAGCGGCUCCGAUGCCUCAGUUUCCCCAGGCCCCGAAGCGUCCCGCCUGCUUCCCCGCUAGGGACUCCCAGCAGGCACCGGUGCAGCAGGAGGGACUCCAGGCAGGACUCGGCGGGAGAGGCCUGUGGAGUAGACGACCCUCGGACCGACCCGUCCCCCGUCUCCCCCGAGGAGGGGACCCCCCAGCCCGCCGCGCUCCCGCCCCCCACAAACUGCUGCAUGAGCGGCUGCCCCAACUGCGUGUGGGUCGCCUACGCCGAGGAGCUGAGGCGACGCUUCCAAGAUGGCGGCGAGAAGGCCUUGGCCGCCCUGGAGGAGCAGGUCCAGGACGAGAACGUCAAGGCUUUCAUCAAGAUGGAGAUCCGACUGCGCCUGAAGGACGGGGGCUGAGGGAGACCCGGGCGGACCGCAGGCGGCCCCGCUCUCGCCAUCGGCCCGCGAGGACCGCGGGCCUUCCUUUCCAAACAACGUUUUCCCCCGAGGGGACCUCGGGAGGAGAUCCACCGUCCCCUGUCAUCGAGAAGCUUAUUAGAGAGACGUUGUCGCCGGGAGGAUCAUAAUCCAAUUACCCGGAGAGGGAUAAAUCCCCGUCUUCGGCAUCCCGGGAUGUACCAGGGGCAAGAAGAGAGCAGAAGUUGGCGGGCAGAACAACAGAGACCCCCGCCCACCCCCUCUGAGGGCAAGGAGGGGAGGUUCGGGGACGACAUUCCCGGCAUGGAAGGAUUAGGGACAGACAUCACCGUCAUCUGCCCGUGGGAAGCUUUUAACCACCUG